rnacentral:rRNA from 1 species
UACGAAGGGGGCUAGCGUUGUUCGGAUUUACUGGGCGUAAAGCGCACGUAGGCGGAUCGUUAAGUCGGGGGUGAAAUCCUGGAGCUCAACUCCAGAACUGCCUUCGAUACUGGCGAUCUCGAGUUCGGGAGAGGUGAGUGGAACUGCGAGUGUAGAGGUGAAAUUCGUAGAUAUUCGCAAGAACACCAGUGGCGAAGGCGGCUCACUGGCCCGAUACUGACGCUGAGGUGCGAAAGCGUGGGGAGCAAACAGGAUUGAGAUACCC